GGAAGGGAGAGGUUCUGUUUCCUUCUUUUUUUGUCAGGCUGUGAGCAGGAAAACCCAGUUUGAUCCUUUCAUUGGAGGGUUGUGAUGUCACCCAAGCUUCAUGGGGUUUAAAGUUCAGAUUCUGCCCUCGAUGUACAUCUGGAGGCUGGAGAGAUGGAAGAGCCAGGUGGGGGAGCCCCAUCUCAUGUGCCAUGGCACUGUAGACUGACACUCUGUUUAUCAGAUGCUCUCCUCUUCCGCUCAGGCAUGCUGGGGACAAGGGCAACCACCCAGGUGUCCUCUGCUCAGUACGGUCUCAAGCACCCAGAAGUAGCAUGGCUGUUUCUUGCCCCUGGAUCACUCUCUUUCCUGUCUUCUUCAUCCCCAGGGAAGCCAUAUGGUGGAGUCUUCCGAGUCAGGGCUAAGAGCCAGCGUGGCUUUGGCCCUGGGGACAGUCCAGCAGCCCUGAUGUGCAAUGUGGGUGGCCUGUUCCGUGAACUUCUGCCUGGCCUUGCCUCUGAGAGCCCAGCUGCACAGCCUAGGCCCCAUCAUGAACAAAGAGUGCAGAGGCCCAACUUCUCUUAUCAUUGUGACACAGAUGCCACCAGGCCAUGUGAGACUGCAACCAGACAGAGCAACAGAGCCUUGCCUAGGAGACUGACCUGCUUAUCCAUGCUACUUAUCAGGAACUGUGGAACCAUGGAGAACAUGACCCUGGCCCUCCCUUCAGGAUCUGCCUGA
rnacentral:lncRNA from 1 species